UUUUUCCAUAGUGGAUUUUAGAACGUCUUCAAAUAACAACUGUGUUUCGUGUAGGCUUACCCUGGCGUGACGUUUUGAUGUUUAUCAAUAAAUUCGCCUGAAUUUACCCUCCAAAAAUGAAACGCUAAUUAGCCGCUAAUGUGGCUAUCAUACAGAACUACAAAUGGCAGUCUCAAGCUUCAUGUCACUCUGGGCCAUGAUGAUUUGACUGCUGAAUUGAGGCAAAGACGCAAGCCUGAAGACAUUCAAGCAGCACUUUGAGAGCAAGCAUCCCAAGUCUCAAAUGUUCCCAGAACUGGUUGAUGUGCAGGCCUAAGUGACUAAACACACUCAAAUGGACCUACAGCUGGGUCACAUGAUGACCACGAGUUGAAUGCUGCAGCUGAGACGGAAUGAUGUCGAAUGACACACGCUGAGAACCUGAGUGACUGGACAUGGGAGGGCCUGAUAUUUGUGACCACGACCUAAAAGGGUUGCAGAAGCACACCAGCACCCCCAUUUAUGUGUAUUGUAUGGCCAACCACCUCUCUAGUUGCACCUUAUUCCACACUAUACCUUUUAUGCCUCAUGGACCCUCAACUUCAGACACUUUGGAAUUCUCUAUCUUAUCUCUAUAAACCCACCCCACCUUCACUGAUUUUCCAUAUGCUGCUUCCUUCACUUGUUCUUCUCCUGAUUAGAUUUGUUUCACCUGUGCAACGCUGUUCUCCUGUUUAUGGGGUUCAGACUGAAUCCAGUGGUAAAUGUGCUCCUUACAAUUGACAGCAGCAACAUGGACCUGGUUAAAUUGUCAAGAAGGGUGUUGAUAUAGCUGCGUAUAGGCAUGGCUUUCUUGUUUUUAAGUCUGUGUAUUUCUAUUUCUCAUUCUGCUGGAGUUGACCUAGUAUUUUAUAUUAAACCUACCUUACAUAUCCA